AAGUCGUAACAAGGUUUCCGUAGGUGAACCUGCGGAAGGAUCAUUAACGAAUAACUAUGGUGUCUUGGCUGUCGCUGGCUCCUCGGAGCAUCGUGCACGCCCGCCAUUUUUAUCUAUCCACCUGUGCACCGAAUGUAGGUCUGGAUGACUCUCGUCUCCGGGCGGAUGCGAGGUUUGCGUGUGCGUAGCGUAGCGUGUUCGCGUUCGCGCGUGCGUUGCGUUGCGUACGGGCUCACCUCGAAUUUCCAGACUCUACGUCUUUUUACACACCCCAAACGUAUGAUGCAGAAUGUAGUCAAUGGGCCUUUAAAAGCCUAUAAAACACUAUACAACUUUCAGCAACGGAUCUCUUGGCUCUC
rnacentral:misc_RNA from 1 species